GAUCGAAGUAUUUCGGGCCAUGGCUGCACGGCAAGCUGCCGAUCGAUUAAAAAAUGGCAGGACAGCUGGAGAAAAAGGAAGUAGGAAGGACUUCUUUUCCAAAUUCUGCGCCUGGUAUAAGGCUUCCAGAUCACCCACAACACGGUACCACUACCAACCGUGUAUAAACGAUGAUCUACCAGUAGACGUCUUUCGGUGUAUAUUUUUCUUCCUGGAAUUUCGGGACCAAGUUAACUGCCGAAGCGUGUGUUGAUCCUGGCACGCCAUUCAAACCAGCGUUCCCACGUGUUUACGGACGGAAUUCAACCUGCAGGAAUAUGGGAACGACGAGCUGGCUUUCGCUUUCGAUAAAGAUAUCAUCCAGUCAAUCACUGACUUACGUCGACUGAUGAAAGUUUUUCCCGAACCACGCGAGCCUGCUGCAGCAACGAUUUACGCGAAGGAUGAUCAUGCAGCUGAUGUCUACUGACGUGUACUGGCGUCCCUUAGUACACAUCGGUACUACUUUACUACUUCUACUCCUACUACUAAGGCCUAGGCUUUACUACAACUUCUACGCGAGUCAUGACCGCGACUCCGAGUAUCGACUUCUUAGAAAUCCCCAGCAGAGAACUUUGACCGCGACUUGCCAUUUCGACGUGACCGCGCUUCGAUGACGUAGCUCAACCUAUUGUUCUAGUGUAUUAGUUGACCUGAUGUUCUCAUUAGUCCACGUGUAGUUGUGCAGCGGUGUGAUUAGUCCACGUGUCCUUAGAUGUCUCUUAUUGGUUAGAUUCUAAAUCCCUAUUGUUCUCAGACCCGUACCUGCGCGUACGAAGAGCCAGCACUUGCGGUGCCAACGGCUAUAUAAGGCGCU